GUCCUUCCUCUGUCCCCUGCUGUCCUCUCUGCUCCCACAGGAGGGGGAAAACAGAGAAGACACAUGCAGGAUUUUACAGCUAGGAAACACAGACCACCUUCCAGAACAGCUGUUCUUCUACACGGCUGUUCCAGAAUCAAGCACUGGAAAGGGCUGUGCAGGUCCAGAACACAGUCCUAGCCGUCCUUCUGCUUCUACAAUGGGAAGACUGACCUGAUGCUAGCUCUCCAGCAGCCCAAUGGGAACCAUGUGGAAGCCACUGCACAGCUUACAGAUCCUCCACCUCCAAGCUCCAGACAGACACCGUCCAGAAAUCUGUGUUUUAAUUUCCUAAUUAACUCUGGUCACUCCUCAGGUCUGGUCCCUUCUGAUGUUCUCUUCUUGGUAACGAUUUACAUUUGGAAGUAUAUGUUUGCUUUUCAAGA